rnacentral:lncRNA from 1 species
AGACAAUAGAAAAGAUGUCACAGAAGAAAACUACAGAAACUUGCAACAACAGAAUGCAACUUGGAAAAGUUACUAGUAAAUGAGAAGGGGGAAAAAAGAUAUUCCUGAUGUUACCAAGGAAUUUGUUAGUCCUGGUGUAGAAUAAUUUAUCAGUUCAGCAAAGUAUACCCUUUGCUGGUAUCUUUUGAACAGACAAUAGAUUAAUGAUUUAGUUAAUCUACUAAAUUAAUAGCUACUGAAAUCCUCCAAAGUCAAACAGUCAAGAAAGCAUUUCCCCAACAUUUGAGAUACAUGGGGAAUUGAAAUAAUAACUGUAGGAAGUUUUUUUUUUAUUAAAAAACACUACUUCAUACUGAAUAGGUCUAAUCUGGAUUUCAGCUUACAGAUGGUGCUUAUAAAUCUCAUAGAAAAAGGGUGACCAGAAAUCUGGACAUGGCACCACCCCUUACCAAACACACACUCCACCCUAGGACACAAGUGCAUCAGUGCCCUCACCAUGGGCAAGCACAGCAGCCUAGAAGUGACAAAAGUGAAAUGACUGGGCACUGGGACCCUGGAUCGACACUGAGCCCUUUCUGAAUCCUUGGUGGGGGAGCAGUGGGUUUAAGAUAAGAAACAUAAAAAAUUUUUUAAACUUUGGCAAGUAAGUAUAGAAAUGACUAUUUCUCGAUUGUCACUUUUAAAGGAAAUAUUCUACCUCAGGAAAAGAUUUUCUCCUAUCUUAUUUGACUUCUCUCUCAAAUAUUUGGAGGGCAAAUUCCUAUAAAAUAGAGGUGGACUAAAACCUCUUAUCGGUAAUAAUUAAUUAUUUGCCACCUUCUCUAUUUAUUUUUUAUUUUAUUUUUUAACUUUACAAUAUUGUAUUGGUUUUGCCAUAUAUCAAAAUGAAUCCACCACAGGUAUACAUGUGUUCUCUAUUUAAAAAGCAUAUAAAAUGUAGAGUCUAUCAUUAAUGACAAAUCCCCAAGACCUUGCUUGUAAUGGAAGUUUGGAAACGUAAUUAAUUUUUUAAAAACUGGGCCUCUAUGUAUUUAAUUCCUUUACAAUAAUCUAUAUAUCAGACUCCUGACAAAAUAAUACUACCUAAUGCAAAUUUCAUCACUCCUCUCAACCUUAACACCCUCACAGAGGUGUUAAAAUUAAUAGAGUCCUGACUACCCUGGUGGCUCAGACAGUAAAGCGUCUGCCUACAAUGCAGGAGACCUGGUUUCAAUCCCUGGGUAGGGAAGAUCCCCUGGAAAAGGAAAUGGCA